rfam:Turicibacter sp. H121, complete genome.
UGAUGAGUUAGAGGUGCGUGUCCAAUGAGUAGGAAUUUCGAGAGUGACGUCGAUGACAAAUUCUAAAAGGUGUCCACGCCGAAGUCUUGUUUGUGUCAACCAAACUUGUGCUGGUGUUAUGUUGAAUAAAUUUAACACUGUCACUACAAUUGUAGUGGAGGACUAAUGAUCGG